rnacentral:lncRNA from 1 species
GUUUCCUUCCUGGAGUUGUGGUGGGUUUCCGGGUGUCAGCAGCGCCCCUGAUUUUGUUGCCCUUUGGUGGCCCCGGGUCUCCCAGGUGUUGGCCGGGCUCCUACGGAGGCUGCCUGCGGCCUGCCCUGCCCCCACUGCUCAGUGUAGUCCUUUUCCUGGUUGGAGGCCCACGGCCGGCUAGAUUUCGACCUGGACCCUCUCAUCUGCCCUUCUCCACCGAGCAGGUGGAAGAGUGGUGGCGGGAAUGCGCCAGCUCUGACCUCCCUGCGGUGCGCGCUGCGGGGCUGGGAGCAACUGUGCUGGGUUCUGAGGCCCAUGCGGGUGCCUUCUUGGAGCCGCGCCAGCACCAGAAAUCGCCCGGGCUCGGAGUCCCAAUUAGAGGCGAUGGUAUCGUUUUACAUUCCUAGCAUCAGUGUACGAGGCCCAGUUCCUCCACAUCCUCGCCAACACGUGGUAUGUACUUUAAUCAGCAUUUAAUGACCCAGUCGAAAAUUCAUUGUUUGGACCCAAGCACUGGUGGGAAAGGCAGGAGGGGAGGCCUGCCUUCCUUCCUCCCUCCCGAGCCCUACAGCAGGCCAUGGAGUGGUGAGCGAGUUCGUACAGUGCCAACCACAUUCCCAGAAACUUCCAGCAGAGGUUAAUCCUGCUCCUCUCAGGUGGGCUUGGCCCAUUCUCUAGACUUUGGAAGGUAAUGUUCUAUAGAGGCCUGUUCUGAAGCUUUACCAGGUCAAACCGGAGAAGAACCCAACAAGUAACUCAUCCCAGCCUAACUAUUCUUCAAGGGCAAUCAACCUACAGCAUCCAAGCACAGAGAAAUCAAAUCCAUGGAGAAUCUUCAAAUUAGGCUCAGAAUCCAUUUGGGUCAAUGAAUUUACUGUUAUUAAGAUCUUAGUUGUGUUCAACCAUGAUUUGACAUACCUUAGAGUGAGAAGAUAUUCUUCCUGGCCUCAGACUAGUUGAAGGUAGAGAGAGAGACAGGCCCUUGGGUGUGGGGAGACCUCUCCUGGGAUAAUACACACAAAAAACCAAGAGCUGCUCACUGUGGUGCAGGAGACAGCAGGGCCUGAAGCCAGAGGCUCUGUGUCCUUGAAUACAAUGUUUUACUCCUCUGACCCCUGUUACUGUGAUUUGGAGAGGCAGACAAUAUAGGAUGGGCUUUGCAGGCAGGGAGGUCCAGUUAUAAUCCCAGCUCUUACUAAGUUGGGUAAGACUCACUCUGAGACUUAGUUUCUUCUGUCAUCUCUCAAUAGAAUCAUAAAGGUACUUUCCUCUUAGUGUUGUUUUAAAAUUCAGUAAAAUAAUGCAGGCUUAGCACAGGGUCUGAUGUAAAUUUUCAAUGAAUUAUCGUUGUCAAUAUUGUUCUGGAAAACAAGAGGGCAUAUUAGAAGAUCAAAAGUACUGCCAAGCAUUGAAGUGCCAAUUCUAGAUCCAGUCUCAGCCCUCUGAGAAUGGAUAUCAUUGUUUUCAAGCCAUUCAGAAACCAAUGUGAAUUGAACACCUAGUAUGAGCUCUCUGAGGGAAGAGCCAAGUCAUGCAUUUUUUAUCUUAAGGGGUCUUCAAUACCUCUAGCCCAAAACAGUAUCUCCAUCAGGAUUCUUCUCUGAUAGUGUUCAUUUCUUUUUUCUCAAUGGAUGCCUUAAAAAAAAAAUCCUACAAGGAAACCUGUACUCCUCAAAUACACCACUCAGGUGACCAUUAAAUCAUUUACAUUGUUAAUUUCUUUUCAGAUGUGUGUCUUUUUCCCUAGUUACAUCAUCAGGACCUUGAAGGUAGGGACAGGUCUUAGAUUUCUUGAUGCCCCCAUAAAUCUAGGUACAGAGUAGGUCUCUGGACAUCAGUAUAAGGCCCAUGAGCCUGAUAGCUGCCCAGGUGGGUGCUGUGUGCCUGGGCGUGGGAAGGACAAAAGAGAGGUCACUAAAGGGGUUCCUGGGAAGGAAGAGCCCCUCUGACUUUAAAAGGGAGCCCAUACACUUUUUGGACAACUGGAAUAAUCAGAAAGCUGUUUUUGGGGAGGCAGCAGCCAGAAAAACCUGGGGCAUUGGGUCAACCAAAGCCCUUCCCAAGGCUGCAGUGGCUGCAGCUAGUUAGCCCAGCUUCCCUACCAGCCCCAGGGCUGCAACUGAACAGUGUUGGCUUCUUAAUAAAAACAG